GACGAACGCUGGCGGCGUGCUUAACACAUGCAAGUCGAACGGUGAAGCGCUUGCCUUUUUGGUGGGCGUGGAUGAGUGGCGAACGGGUGAGUAACACGUGAGUAACCUGCCCUCUUCUUCUGGAUAACCUCAUGAAAGUGGGGCUAAUACGGGGUAUUCCGGGUCUGUCGCAUGGCGGGUUUGGGAAAGAUUGCGCCUUUGGGUGUUUUCGGUGGGGGAUGGGCUCGCGGCCUAUCAGCUUGUUGGUGGGGUGAUGGCCUACCAAGGCGGUGACGGGUAGCCGGCCUGAGAGGGUGGACGGCCACACUGGGACUGAGACACGGCCCAGACUCCUGCGGGAGGCAGCAGUGGGGAAUAUUGCACAAUGGGCGCAAGCCUGAUGCAGCGACGCCGCGUGAGGGAUGGAGGCCUUCGGGUUGUGAACCUCUUUCGCCAGUGAAGCAGGCCUGCUCCUGUGUGGGUGGGUUGACGGUAGCUGGAUAAGAAGCGCCGGCUAACUACGUG
rnacentral:rRNA from 1 species